UCUAAUAGCAUUUAUGAGCUACAUUAUAGUCGUAGAGACAGUUUGAGGAAGGCAAGAGUGGGGAAGCUCAGGGAAUUGUGUCUAUGUGUGUGUGUUACUAAAAAAGCAAAAUGCUGAAAAAAUAUUAAAGGAAGAAGAAGAGAGGAAUGUAGAAAGGUCAUGAUGAUCUGGUGAAUUAUUUCUUUGUACAAGUUUACAAGGUCCUCCCCAAAGUACAAAAUGGAUGCAGGAGUGGGAGGUAUUGGUGAUCUGAACUAAAAGAGCAAAACAAUCUGAAUUUUUACAAGAGAUCUCUGGCACCCACCUUUCAAAAACCUGGCCAGUAGAUUUUAAUAUCUUGUCACACUAAGUUCUUGAAUUCUCUCAGCUGCAUUUUAAAGUAUUGCUGCUUUUAUGUUACUUUAAAUGUCAGCAUGCUGAAUAUUUAUUCAUUUAUUUAUUUGCUGUAUUUUACACCACUCUACCUCAACCCCAAAGAGGACUCACAGUGGCUUUCAAAUUGGCAAUAAUUCAAUGCCACAUUAACAUGAGGCAGACAAAAUACAAUAUACAUUGUGUGUUAAAUCAUGAAAAUAAUAAAACACAUAUAAAUACAUAAAUAACCUGUUAAUACAGACAUUACUGAUAGUACUUACCACCUAGGGGCAGUAAGUAUUGAUAAUACUUAAGGAGAGGGAAGGUAGAUAACUGCAUAACUCAAGGCCAGAUGGACUCUUUUGCCAAAGUCCAAAUGUUCCCUGCAUUUUUAAUAUUAUACAAUCAAUGAUGCCACCCUGGCAAAUGGUAAGUAAGUAUGUAUAGGAAAUUUCUUGACACAUGUGAGUCUUGAUAUUUGCUUUAACUUCUCAAUUUGCCCCAACAGUCUUCCAGAAUUGGCCUGUAACACCAGAAGUUGAUGAAAGCUAGUAUUGUAUAGUGGAUUAUGGACUAUGGAGACCAGGCUUUCAAUCCCCCCUCACUCAUAGAAACGAUAAUGGACAGUCUCAAGGAGAUGUGUUUCCCUUGCUGCACUGGUGCUAUGGACAGAUCACACAUCCCCAUGUGCCUACUGCAUUUUGUUCAUCAACAAAAAUAACUCUUUCUCAUUUUGAAAUAGAAGUCAAACAGUAUAGCAAGAGAACAAUUAUAGAACAAUUAUUAAAGUGAGAUUAACAAGGGUACAACUGAACUAAAUGAUAGAUAUCUGAUAUUGCCAAUUUCAGAAACCAGGAGGAAUUUGUGUUCUUUUAUGACUAAAGGCAUUUGAAGCUGUGUGAAACCUCCUGGAAUUCUGGGAUUUAUGGAAACUAUAAUUGUUCAAGGAGCCUCAACAAUUCUGGAUUUGUCAUUUUUUGGAAAGAGUAUACCCCCUGAUACUAUAUUAUAGUUAAUGGAUCUGGAGAAAACAAAUAACAAAUAUAUAGUCUAAAAUAUUGAUUUUAAGUGCAAGUGCUGUAGUCCCUUGAAGCAAAAACACCAUACUUUACAAGAACUCUAUAGAAAGUAACCAGUCAAUAACAGCUUCUGAUUCUCUCCUUGCUCUAUUGCUUCUUGGCAGCCAUCAAGCACCUGUUCUGUUAAUACUACCCCCUUUUUGUGUUUUCUUCUGCCAUCUACUGUAUCAUAGUAGUACUGUGGAGGAGUGAAUAAGAUUAAAAGAGUAUCUCAAGGAAAUACUGGAGAUUUGUUUAAUGUAGAAUUGGAGAGUAGGCAGCUUCCACCACCACCACCCCUGCCACCCUUCAGAAAUUCUAGGACUAAACCGUCCAUCAGAUCUAGCAAAUAUUGCUGAUGAGGAAUGAUGGGAGCUGAAGUUCAAAAACAACAUCUGGAGCACCAGAUAUACCCCAGCCUUGAUUUAUUACCAUACCCACCCAUUCACAUUUUCCUCAUAUGUUAGGAAUUCCAAAACCUCUUAUAUUUGAAGCAAAGUCUAAUAUUUUGAUGCCAACAGGAACGGGACCUUUGUGUUUCUAAGAGCCCUGAGGGAUAUUCGGCUUAGGAAGGACCAGCCCAACCAUUAGGCAGAGUAAGAGGAAGAAAGCGGUGCCAAUAUGUUGAAGGAAAGAGCUUUUUGAGCCAUGUGACUUGCCCUGAGUCCAUUAAGCCAACCUAGUGAUUUUUUUUGUGUUUUGAGGGAUGCUGAUUCAUUUUCAGAUGUAGUUAUUAGUCAGGGUCAGCUAUUGUGCAUGAACACCCACAUUGUCCUUUGCUCCAGGCAGUAAAACAUUUUGCAAAAAGCAAAGAGGAGUGGAACACCCAAUGGAAGGGAUCUACGAAAUAAUGGGUUUUAUUAUAGGAGGAUGUUAAAGUGCAAUUAUGUCAAAAUAUAAGUGCCUUUUAAUGGGGUUUAUUGCAUAACGUCAAGCCUGACGGGUAGUUACAUUGCACUUGAAUCUUCCCUUCUCACUGAUGGGAAAAACCUACCAAUGAAUCCGAUAUUGCUGUCAUUCCAUAACGCUUCCUUGUUCAAUAAUUUUCUUCUGUUACAAUCCCAGUAUUGAGAAGUAGGGAAAGGUUUUGUAAGAACACAGUUAACUAUGUGACUGCACAGUUGUGCUAAAACAGAAAAAUAGUGGGUGGGUGGACACGGUGCAUGUGCUGGAUAGAGCAAAUAUGGGAAGGAAGCAAGAUUGUAUGCAAGACAGGUUGCAGGGUUUUCCAUUAACAAGGUGACAGUAUCACAGAAAUGGCAUCAAGAUAUGAAAUAGAUCGUUCCAAUAAUGUUAUGUUUCCAUUUGCUUACACAAUGUGAUUGGUGUGAUAAAUGUCUCAAGGUGUUGAAAAAGAUAAUUUUAUUCCUAUAAUUAGCCAAAUGUAUUUCAGCCUGGUAAUGUUUAAUGACUUUCAUUUUAGAUAUCUUUUAUCUAAAAGAUAAUAGUCAGAGAUGAGACAAUACAUAAAGAGAAAAUUAGAAGAGUAGACAAGUUACUAUUUGCAAUUCCAGUUUUAGAUACAUCAAGAUGCAUGUAAAAUUAUCACUUUUAAAAAUGCCUAUCGGUUUUUAAAAAAACUUAUACAAGUAUAUUAUUUUCAGUGAAAUGUUAAACCUCGUGUAGGAUUCCAAAAAGAUUGUUUACAAAUUUUAUGCCAAGCAACUGACCGUUUGAGAAGUAUGGAAGUAUGAAGUUCUCUUCUAUGGAAAACAUCUAAAGCAAAAUUGAUACUUAGUAGUUCAGACUUUUCAUUGCCACCUGCUAGCAUUUUACCAUCCAUAUUUAACAGUGGUCCCACUGU
rnacentral:lncRNA from 1 species